CGCGAAGAACCUUACCAAGGCUUGACAUAUACGAGAACGGGCCAGAAAUGGUCAACUCUUUGGACACUCGUAUACAGGUGGUGCAUGGUUGUCGUCAGCUCGUGUCGUGAGAUGUUCGGUUAAGUCCGGCAACGAGCGCAACCCUCGUCCUAUGUUGCCAGCACGUUAUGGUGGGAACUCAUGGGAUACUGCCGUGGUCAACACGGAGGAAGGUGGGGAUGACGUCAAAUCAUCAUGCCCCUUAUGUCUUGGGCUUCACGCAUGCUACAAUGGCCGAUACAAAGGGCUGCGAUACCGCGAGGUGGAGCGAAUCCCAAAAAGUCGGUCUCAGUUCGGAUUGGGGUCUGCAACUCGACCCCAUGAAGUCGGAGUCGCUAGUAAUCGCAGAUCAGCAACGCUGCGGUGAAUACGUUCCCGGGUCUUGUACACACCG
rnacentral:rRNA from 1 species